rnacentral:rRNA from 1 species
UACGUAGGGUGCGAGCGUUGUCCGGAAUUACUGGCGUAAGCGUGACGCAGGCGGUUGGGUCAGUCGCUGGUGAAAGCCCCACGCUCAACGUGGGAAUGGCCAACGAGACGGCCCGACUGGAGGCAGGGAGAGGCCGGUGGAAUUCCCGGUGUAGCGGUGAAAUGCGUAGAGAUCGGGAGGAAUACCGGUGGCGAAGCGACUCUCUGGACGGCAACUGACGCUGAGGCACGAAAGCGUGGGAGCAA